GACGAACGCUGGCGGCGUGCCUAAUACAUGCAAGUAGAACGCCGUUGCGAACGGGUGAGUAACGCGUAGGUAACUGCCUCAUAGCGGGGGAUAACCAAUGGAAACCAUAGCUAAUACCGCAUACUGUGAGAUGGACCUGCGUUGUAUUAGCUAGUUGGUGAGGUAAAGGACCACCAAGGCGACGAUACAUAGCCGGCCUGGGAAGGUGAUCGGGCACACUGGGACUGGGACAAUGCCCCAGCUCCCACGGGAGGGAGCAGUAGGGAAACUUCGGAAAUGGAGGGAAGUCUGGACGCGCAACGCCGGGGUAGAGAAGAAGGUUUUCGGAUCGUAAAGCUCUGUUGUUAGAGAAGCGUUAACUACCCAGAAAGCGACGGCUAACUACGUGCCAGCAGCCGCGGUAAUAC
rnacentral:rRNA from 1 species